rnacentral:rRNA from 1 species
GACGAACGCUGGCGGCGUGCUUAACACAUGCAAGUCGAACGAAGAGCGAUGGAAGCUUGCUUCUAUCAAUCUUAGUGGCGAACGGGUGAGUAACGCGUAAUCAACCUGCCCUUCAGAGGGGGACAACAGUUGGAAACGACUGCUAAUACCGCAUACGAUCUAACCUCGGCAUCGAGGAUAGAUGAAAGGUGGCCUCUACAUGUAAGCUAUCACUGAAGGAGGGGAUUGCGUCUGAUUAGCUAGUUGGAGGGGUAACGGCCCACCAAGGCGAUGAUCAGUAGCCGGUCUGAGAGGAUGAACGGCCACAUUGGGACUGAGACACGGCCCAGACUCCUACGGGAGGCAGCAGUGGGGAAUCUUCCGCAAUGGACGAAAGUCUGACGGAGCAACGCCGCGUGAGUGAUGACGGCCUUCGGGUUGUAAAGCUCUGUUAAUCGGGACGAAAGGCCUUCUUGCGAAUAGUUAGAAGGAUG